GCGCAGAGGAGGCUGCUACUUGGAUUCAGCUCUUAGAAGCAAUAUUCAAAAAUAAACUUGAGAGAUUUCCUGAUAAGAUCCAAAGAGUUUGCUUUUCUUGAAGAACUGGAUGCUGGCCACAUGGGAUGUGUAUACAUACACUGAAUUAAAGCUGGGUAGAGGCUGCCUGCCGUGGACAGUGCUUACUCCUGUGAGCCGGAGUCCCUGAGAAGUCCACCUCCCCCUGGUCCCUGGGUACUUUUGUGUGACUUUACCACUUCUGGGACGGCAGAUGGGUGUCAGCGUGGCAGGUAGACAUCACCCCUUGUUGCAGCUCUGUGCACUUACUAGUGGUGAGUACUGUGUCGAGGCGAACUCUGAGGCAGAGUCCCCAGUGGCUGGAGGGUGGGGGGUUCCAGGACGUACAGAUAGAACCUGGAGUCAAGGGUCACCCAGUCAAGGAGGGACUGCGGGGACUGGAAAUUGGCAAAGGUGUUGCCUAGCAGCCCUCAGGAUCUCUGCCUCUGGAGUAGAGGGCAGGCACAGUCCUGAGCCUCGCUGUCCCCCAGUUGUCCAGGUCGAUGGUGAGAACUCUGCUGGGCAGACGGGGCUCUUCCUUUCGGCGCUGCUGGGCCACAGCUCUGCCGUGCAGCUCCUGCUGACCUUCGGCGCCAACCCUAACCACCGCUGCCUCGAUGGAAGCACGCCUGUGCACGCAGGUGCCUUCUCGGGCCGCCGCCCGGUGGUGCUGCACCUGUUGCGGGCAGGGGGUGACCUGCGUCUACGUGACCAGCAGGGUCGCACGCCUCGGGACUGGGCAGAGCAGGGUGGUGCCAGGCAGAGCCGGGAGGUGCUGGAGCUGCUAGAGCUAUGCCGAGCCCACGUAGCAGCACUGGUGCAUGGCGGUGCGUUGGCAGCCAGUGCGUCCCUGGGCCAGCUGCAGGCCGGCUCUGUACACCACCUGUGUGGCUCCCUGUGGUUGCCGCGGCUGCUGCGUGCGGACGGGGCACCGAGGCAGGAGCAGACCAGAAGACCCCCCCAGAUCCCAGCCUUGGGGUUUGGCCAGCUGAGCAGCCUGUGGCCACUGGGGCUGCUGACGGGCAUACCCCUCGCGGACCCCAAGGAGCUGCUGCCAGCCCAGGGCGAGCCCGACCGCACCUACGAGAGCAGCUCCCGCACCCUCAUGGCCAACCUCCUGUGGAGGGGCCACCCUGUGACAGCUCGGCAGCUGAAGGUACCGGGAACUCAGCCUGAUGUGCUGUUGGCCGACCUUCAACACUGCAGCACCCUGCACCACCCCAACAUGUUGCUGCUGAUGGCACUGAGCCCCUCGGCGGACCUGUCAGGACUGUGCCUCCUCUUCGAACCCGUGUGGCUGGGCUCCCUGCACGUGGUGCUGCACCCACGGGGACCGAGUCAGGGAGGGCCCCGCACUGUGCCAGGCCUGCCGCCCGGCCACCUGCUGCUGCAGGUGCUGGAGGCCCUGCUGUUCCUGCAGGCCCGCUGGCGUGCUCAUGGCGGCCUUAGCUCUCAUGCCGUGCAGCUGGUACGGCCAGGCCUGGCCAAGGUGGGCAGCCUGGAGCACGGGCGCCCGCUGCACCGAUGCUGGCCGCCGCCCAGGCCACAGCAGGGCUACCCCCGGGGAGGCCCAGGCCCAGGGCUACCCCCGCCUCCUGAACUGUACCCAUGGCUGCCACUUGAGCUCAUCUGCGGUGACGUGCCUGCCGCCACCUCAGAUCUCUACAGCUUCUGCAUCCUGGCCCAGGAGGUCUUCACCGGAGAGCUGCCCUGGGCUGGGAGAAAGGGGCCUGAGGUGAAGGCUAAAUUGGAGGCAGGUGAGAGCCCGGCCCUGGAUCCCCUGGUACCAGCCCCCUACCAGGCCCUGGUUCAGGCUGGGCUGGGCCUAGGGCCCGCUGACCGCUGGGGCAGCCUGCAGAGUACUCGAUACCUGCUGCGGGAGGCCAUGGCCCAGGACUCCACUCCUGAGGUGAGCUCCCGGAAGCAUUGGCCCACACGGUACCUUUCAUCCCAGGGUUCCCUACCAGAGACACUGUACUGUGAGGUGGCUCCCAGAGCCAAGACUAUACCCAGGCCUGUGCCCCCUGUGAUGCCCCUAGGCCCCUCCCCAUGCCAGGCCCCGGAGACUCCUGAGACCCCAGGCCACAGCAGAGUCCAGAGGGGCACAGCCUGGGACUCAGGCAGCAGCUUGACUCUAGGCAGCCUGAGCCCCAGCCCCAGCUUCUACCCAGGCUUCAGCCCCGCAGCCAAGGUCAGCCUGCACCGCUGCCUGGAGCCCAGCUCAACACCAUCAGGACUCAGCCUCCCUUCUGGGGACCCAGGGCUCUUUGAAGGAGUUUGAGAGGAAGUGCUCAGUCACGAUUCAAGCCCUGCAGGGACUGUGGCGUCACACACACAGGGCUGCCCUGCGGGGCCCCUCUACCGUGUGAGCCUAGCCCCUGCCUGCUGACCCACAAGGAGGCCUCCCACACCCUGGAGGCUGCUGGCAGGGAAGGCCAUGAGGGCAGGUGAAGCAGAGGACCCUGAGCCUAUCCCCUGCCCCAUGCCACCUUCCCGGGCACCCUCCAUGGCCACUGGGUGGCAGCUCCAGCCUUUUUCCCCUGCAGGUGCCCAGUCCCGAGCUGAUCAAAGGAGAUCUCUUCUCCAGCCUGCAGAAGAUGGACCUGCUGGAGGAGGUCAUAGCAGAGCUGCAAGGUGG